ACAGUAUGUGCGUGAGUUUUUAAUUUAAAAUGUCUUAACUCGGAAGGAUCUGAAUCACAGGUCAUUUCAUCUGAGAUCAUUCCGCAUGUAACAGCCGGAAUCACUCACUGUUUCCCACAACGACACAAGUCAUCAGCCGUUUCCUCAAGGUCACGUCAGAGCGGUGGUGAUGUGGAGAGGCAGACCAAGACCACCACCAUACGCGAAGAUGAGCCUCGAGGCGUGACAGUUAUUUUUUCAAACUGAGGAGUUCGGACUCCGGACCGGCAUUUCUGCUUGUUUGUACCCUGAGAUAACCAUGGUUAAAAAAUGGUCAGACACGUCACUGGCUUUAAAAUAUAAACCCCAUUGAUGCAAAAAGAUGCUGCAUGGAAUGACAAUGAGGUUUGGAACAGACUUGGUGAAGAACAUGGAAACAUCUCUUAAUAAAAUGGCCCCAAACAUCAUCAGGAGUGCAAAAGAAGGAAGUAAAAAACAUCUCUACGCCAAUCUCAUUGGAGAGGAAACCACAGAAGGUCUGGUGAGGAAUGCUGCACUUAUGUUAUUGCAAGCAUUAUUUCAAGAAAAUCCCAGCUUCCUUGACUGUGUAAAUAGUGAACCCAAAGGUCCCACACCAACCAUAGUGUUCAACGGCUCUCCUGAUCUUCUCAAAUCUGAAAGUAUCAACUUUAUAAUGGACAAUGUGAACUUAAUAUGUGGAAGACAUUGACAUCACAGGCUGUGGAAUGACUGUGUCACAGGUCGGAGAAGCGGACCAGAGAAGCGGACCGCCCUUGUCUCGAGGAGGUCCCAAAGCACCCCAAUGACCAGACAAACCAGAGAUAAGUAAAAUAUAGAAAUAGAAACUAAAGUGGGGAAUGGGAAAGGGAAUCUAAAAAUCUCGCUUCUCGUCCUCAGGGGGAGUAUUACGGGGCCAGGGACGUUGGAGGGGUUUCCACGUGACUCCAGCUGGAACACCGCUACAGAGCGUAUCUGGGUGGGUUGGGCACACACCGUCGCGGCGGCCCCUGAUGGCAUCCACAAAGGUCCAAGACCCUCCUAAGCUCCUAGCCGUAGCAGAACUACGUAUUUCAGCACCCGAAGGACUAACAACCCAGCCGGCAUCUGCAGCGUAUAUCCAACGCCAUCAAACUUCACUCUGACAAGUAACUUCCUAUACACAACCACGCCGUCCUUUCGCCCGGACCAGCCCCGCACUCUUUCCGCCCGCUACCUAGCGGUCGCCGGAUCAGCAGAGCCUGCGGACUCUUCGGAGGCUGGUCUUCGUUGUGCUGCCCAAGGCGGAAGUUGACUCGCCCGAAAAUCGACCCUUCCAGUAACUUCUACCUUCUCUCUUUAUAUCCUCCUCCCAGGCGUGGCUCGCCCAACCAUCGCUCGCCACGUCACUCACACAGCUGUGCCUUGUUUCAGCGAGUGCGGGGAUUCCCGGGGAACCCUGAAGUGCCGGUGUCUGUACAAACCGGUCCGGGCGGAACCUCUUCACUCUCCUUUUGGUUCCGCCCCGCAUAGUCACUCCGUGACAACUGUUUGCGUUUUUUUUUCUCCUCAAUGUUCAAUACCCUUUUGCCAUUCAGCACACAGUGACUUUAAUUUAUAAAAUAUAUGCUUAAGUUUUAAUACCUGUACAAAACAAAUGUACAAUCAACUUGUGUAAAUUGUCAUUCUAUUUAAUAGAUUGUUCAUGAAUUGUCUUUAAAUGCAUUGUGAUUUCGGUAACACUUUACAAUAAAGUUCAUUAGUUAACAUUAGUUGGCUGUAUAAGUGCAGUUCAUUAUUAGUUCAUGUUAACUAAUGUAGCUAACUAAUGUUAACUAAUGAACCUU